rnacentral:ncRNA from 1 species
AGUCAUAAUCUCCUGUUAUUAUAACUAAAUCAAUUAAACCUUGAUGCACCUGGCACAAAUCAACAUUAUGCAAGGCUAUCCGCCAUAGUUAAAGAUCUAAGCGAUAAAUAGUGUGCCAGCUAUCGCGGCUAUACAUUAGCUUAAAGUUAACUUCCAUUAGCUGUUCAGAUUGUUACCUUACCAUUAAAAUCCUAAUAGUGAAAAGUAUACAUUCCAUACAACAAUACAUCUGAACUACCAAAAGUUAAACAAGAAACAAGGAUUAGAUACCCUUCUAUCCUAGACCUAAACUAAUCAAGAAGUAAUAUUAAAUAAAAACUUAAUCAGAAUGGCAGUAAGAAAUCCACCGGAGAAGGCUGUACCAUAAUCGACAAUCCUCGCUAACUACCCCCUAACCUAACAUUUUAUAUAUCGCCAUUGAAAUCUUACUUAAGGUAGAAUUAAUCUAAGAUCUAAACUCAGUCAACAGGUCAAGAUAUAAAUCAUGGUUAGGUGAGAUAUUGCCUGCAAAUAUCAACAAUUAAUUAAACUAACCAUUAUCCAACAGUUUAAAUUAGGAUCCGACUGUAACCAUGUCUACUUAUAACAUUAUGACCUGCCAAAUUCCUUAUGCACAUAUUGCCCGUCAUCCUCAUAAGGAGGCAAGUCGUAACAAAGUAGAUCUUCUGGAAGGAGGAC